UGGGGAAUAUUGCACAAUGGGGGAAACCCUGAUGCAGCCAUGCCGCGUGUGUGAAGAAGGCCUUCGGGUUGUAAAGCACUUUCAGCGAGGAGGAAGGGUUGAUGCCUAAUACGUAUCAACUGUGACGUUACUCGCAGAAGAAGCACCGGCUAACUCCGUGCCAGCAGCCGCGGUAAUACGGAGGGUGCAAGCGUUAAUCGGAAUUACUGGGCGUAAAGCGCACGCAGGCGGUUGGAUAAGUUAGAUGUGAAAGCCCCGGGCUCAACCUGGGAAUUGCAUUUAAAACUGUCCAGCUAGAGUCUUGUAGAGGGGGGUAGAAUUCCAGGUGUAGCGGUGAAAUGCGUAGAGAUCUGGAGGAAUACCGGUGGCGAAGGCGGCCCCCUGGACAAAGACUGACGCUCAGGUGCGAAAGCGUGGGGAGCAAACA
rnacentral:rRNA from 1 species